rnacentral:rRNA from 1 species
UACGUAGGGUGCAAGCGUUUGUCCGGAAUUAUUGGGCGUAAAGAGCUCGUAGGCGGUCUGUCGCGUCGGCUGUGAAAACUCGGGGCUCAACCCCGAGCCUGCAGUCGAUACGGGCAGACUAGAGUGCUGUAGGGGGAGACUGGAAUUCCUGGUGUAGCGGUGAAAUGCGCAGAUAUCAGGAGGAACACCGGUGGCGAAGGCGGGUCUCUGGGCAGUAACUGACGCUGAGGAGCGAAAGCGUGGGGAGCGAACAGG